GACGAACGCUGGCGGCGUGCUUAACACAUGCAAGUCGAACGGAAAGGCCCUGCUUUUGUGGGGUGCUCGAGUGGCGAACGGGUGAGUAACACGUGAGUAACCUGCCCUUGACUUUGGGAUAACUUCAGGAAACUGGGGCUAAUACCGGAUAGGAGCUCCUGCUGCAUGGUGGGGGUUGGAAAGUUUCGGCGGUUGGGGAUGGACUCGCGGCUUAUCAGCUUGUUGGUGGGGUAGUGGCUUACCAAGGCUUUGACGGGUAGCCGGCCUGAGAGGGUGACCGGCCACAUUGGGACUGCGAUACGGACCAGACUCCUACGGGAGGCAGCGGUGGGGAAUAUUGCACAAUGGGCGGAAGCCUGAUGCAACAACGCCGCGUGCGGGAAGACGGCCUUCGGGGUGUAAACCGCUUUCGCCUGUGACGAAGAGUGAGUGACGGUAAUGGGUAAAGAAGCACCGGCUAACUACGUG
rnacentral:rRNA from 1 species